AGGGAUUUAGCUUAGUGGUAGAACACCUGCUUUUUCAUGCAGAAGGUGCCAGGAUCAGUCCCUGGCAUCUCUU